rnacentral:piRNA from 1 species
UGUAAAGCUCAGAGUGCAGUGCCCAGCU